GGCGGUAUAGCUCAGUGGUAGAGUGCUCCUUUAACAUGGGAGUGUACUGGGGUUCAGUUCCUCAUAUCUCCA